AAGAAAGACAGAUUGUAGUGAAGUCUGGUCUACUGAACAGGAUCAACGCUCACAGCUCAGACUGAAAGUUAACUAAAAAAAAAAACAGAAGACAAGAACUGUCUGAUAUCUGCUCCCUUGUCUCGGGAAGAAACUGCUGGGAAGGAGGGGAGGAAGAAACAGAGGAAAUGUGUGAUAGCUUCCGCACAUCCUCCCAAGACAGUACUUCCACUAGGAAAAAGUAGAAGAAAAAUGCACGUGUAUUGCCUGUUCAGAUGAUCCACUGGUGAGCAAGUGAUGUAAUGCUAAAUUUCUCCAAAUCUGUUCAGAUGAAGAAACAAACUCAGAUACAUCUUGGAGUGAGUAAGGCAGCUGGUCUGGCCCUGGUGUCCUCAUGGGAUUGUUCUGGAGAGGUAAAAG
ensembl:lncRNA